AGAAAACUGGAGUGGGUUGCCUAAGAACACACAGAACUCUGCAACACAAUUCUCCAGCAGUUUGAAGUAUGUGUACUUUCCAGCCCUUUUCUCUGCCUACUACACCUUGUAAACAUGUUCUGAACAGAUGGGAGAGCGAUCCACUGCAGUUAACCCCAGACACACACAGAGAACCCAAGGUUUCACUGUAACACAUGUGGAAUUCCUCCCACUCCACCUUCCUUCUGCCCACAUUGUCGUCCUGGGGAAACACUUUCGGAUGGAAGAAAGAAAUGUUUCUGCUCUUUUCUUCCUCUGGGCAUAAGCUGAAGCCCAGAGUGAUGAGAGAGAAGGUAGACUGACCCAUCAUAUAGAGUAAGUUACUCCAAG
ensembl:lncRNA